GCGCCAAGCCCCAACAACACUUCCCUCAUGGUGCUUUAUAUUGUAAGGUCAAGACCCUACAAUAAUGCACAAAAACUCUAACCCCCUAGAGCAAGCACAAUGGCGACAGUGGGGAGGAAAAACUCACUUUUAAAAGCGAGAAACCUCCGGCAGAACCAGGCUCUGAGAUGGGGUGGCCAUCUGCCUCGGCCAGUUGGUGAUGAGGGAAGGAAGUGGGGGGAAGAAGAGUGGUUAUUUUUAACCACUCUGGUUUUAAAAUUUAAUUGAGAUUGCCGAAUUAAAAGAAUAUUUUACGCCAGUUUAAGAGUUUUGUAACAUAAUCACAUGCACGUUUCAGUUCAAUUUUAGCGUGCACAUGAGAAAGCCCUAAAGAUGACAUUUUGGCUCCUCAGCUUGGCGUGUUUUUUGAAGCUGCUGACGACUGCUUCGUCAACCACUGGGUUGCUUGACCUCAUUAGCAGUAUUGGAGAAGGCCACCUUUCACGGAGUUCAUUGGAUACUUUCAGGCCGAGUUGUUCAAUGUUUUCCAAGGACAUUUUGUAGUUUUUGGACAAAAUUUUGUUCCAGAUCUUAUGGGAAAGCCUCUGAAUAAUAAACUCUGAUGUUCCUGCAUUCCAUGUAGCUGUCUCAUCUUCUCCGUUCAUAGCGUGCAUUACCAGAUCUUUAGUGACAUUUUUCACAGCCUCCUGGUACUCGUCCCUGUUUUUAGAGACACUAAGUACUCUUCUUGGUAAUGCCAACAGGUGUUUGGUGAAGGUUGGGACAGUAAUAUUAUCAAGCUGUUCCCUCAGAUUAAAAAUCAGAUAUUUUUCCUUGCAGUUGUGUGUUUUGCAAAGAUCCUUGAGAAUGGCCUUGUCUAUAUUUUUCAGCCAUUUGGGGGAUAGAUCUAAAUGUUUCAGCUCAAUUUCAGGCCAAAUUUUUUCAAUCAGGCGAUCGCUGAUGCAGUCAGGAGUGAGGCGCUCCGUGAAGAGCUUGUAUUUAGUGGAGACUUUUUCUAUGGCCUGUGAAACCACCAACUCAAUCACUUUGUUGACACACAACUUUUCCCCACUCAGACAAUCAGAUGAGGACGACUCUGGGGUUGCCACCUCCUGUGUUUCAGUCUCAGCCUCUACUAAUUCUUUUCUCUGCUUGUCCAGUUUUGUCUGCAUUUCUGGUAUUUUUGUCUCUGCCUGACUUUCUUUAAUCUCGCUAGAGUCCUCACUCUGUGGGUGGAUUUCGUUGUCCCUCUGCUGAAGCUGCUCUUUCAGACGGUUCAUCUCAAGGUCAGAGUUGCUGGCCUUUUCCUGAUCUGAACACGUCUGUUCCUCUCUUUCUUUGGUGGCGCUGCUCACCCGCAGUUUGCGCGACGCUGUUUCGUCAGUGACUUCUCCAGCUUGGCUCUCAUACAGGUCCAGCUGGGUGCGCACCAUUGAAAUUUGAGCCUGCAUAAGGUCGUAGAGUGCACUCGUUGCCAGUUUGAAGACAAAUUCUGGUUUUCCUUCCUGGUUGCUCAUUUUUGAUAUUUAACUUUGAAACAAAUCUACCGUGGUACACUAAAUCAGAUAUUCAAAUGUGAAUUCGAUAAUCAGAUGUGAAUCAGGGUUUGAAGUUGGAGAAGCAGAACAAAAGUUCGUCUAGUGAAUCGCUCGUGACUGACCCGCCCACAGGACACUACAACAUUCCGUAUUGGCUCAUUGAAAUGGAUGGUCCCAAGGGUUCAGAACUCAAUGACACCGUUCCAGGUUCCUAUCCAUCUAAUAUAUUCUUCUGUUGG
ensembl:lncRNA